GACGAACGCUGGCGGCAUGCCUAACACAUGCAAGUCGAACGGAGAAUCACUUCGGUGAUUCUUAGUGGCGAACGGGUGAGUAACGCGUAGGCAACCUGCCCUUUGGAUGGGGACAACAUUCCGAAAGGAGUGCUAAUACCGAAUGUGACGAUUUUACCGCAUGGUUUAAUCGUGAAAGAUGGCCUCUACAUGUAAGCUAUCGCCAAAGGAUGGGCCUGCGUCUGAUUAGCUAGUUGGUGGGGUAACGGCUCACCAGGGCGACGAUCAGUAGCCGGUCUGAGAGGAUGAACGGCCACAUUGGGACUGAGACACGGCCCAGACUCCUACGGGAGGCAGCAGUGGGGAAUCUUCCGCAAUGGGCGAAAGCCUGACGGAGCAAUGCCGCGUGAGUGAUGAAGGUUUUCGGAUUGUAAACUUCUUUUCUCAAGGACGAUAAUGACGGUACUUGAGGAAUAAGCCAACGGCUAACUACGUGCCAGCAGCCGCGGU
rnacentral:rRNA from 1 species